UAGGGAAUAUUGCACAAUGGAGGAAACUCUGAUGCAGCGACGCCGCGUGAGUGAUGAAGGACUUCGGUUCGUAAAGCUCUGUUGCAGGGGAAAAAGAAAGUGAUGGUACUCUGCGAGAAAGGGUCGGCUAACUUCGUGCCAGCAGCCGCGGUAAGACGAGGGACCCUAGCGUUGUUCGGAAUCAUUGGGCGUAAAGCGGGUGUAGGUGGCUUUGUAAGUCAGGUGUGAAAGCCCGGGGCUUAACCCCGGAAGUGCAUUUGAUACUGCGAAGCUUGAGUGCUGGAGAGGUUACUAGAAUUCCUGGUGUAGUGGUGAAAUACGUAGAUAUCAGGAGGAAUACCGGAGGCGAAGGCGGGUAACUGGCCAGACACUGACACUCAGACCCGAAAGCGUGGGGAUCAA
rnacentral:rRNA from 1 species